rnacentral:rRNA from 1 species
UCGAACGGAGUCGGCCCCGCAAGGGACUGACUUAGUGGCGAACGGGUGAGUAACGCGUGAGCAACCUGCCUCACACUGGGGGACAACAGUUAGAAAUGACUGCUAAUACCGCAUAAGCGCACAGGACCGCAUGGUCCGGUGUGAAAAACUCCGGUGGUAUGAGAUGGAUCCGCGUCUGAUUAGCCAGUUGGUAGGGUAACGGCCUACCAAAGCGACGAUCAGUAGCCGACCUGAGAGGGUGACCGGCCACAUUGGGACUGAGACACGGCCCAAACUCC